GCUUCUCUCAACGAAAGUAUGUUCACUUUCC
rnacentral:piRNA from 1 species